GAUAUGACGUUGAUCGGGUAUAAAGAUAUAAUGGUUUACUUUCAGAGAGUUGCCGUGUGGUGCGAGGCAAUAGAAAUCGUAUAUUGACACUCUCCCGUGAGUUUUGCUGAUGAAAUCAAUAGUAGUUGGCAACGGUAGUUCCGUUAUCGCUAAUGAGACCCAACUAGGGUGGUACCGUGUUAUAAGUAUAUGACGCCCCUUGC
rnacentral:ncRNA from 1 species